CGCGGAGUAGAGCAGUUGGUAGCUCGUCGGGCUCAUAACCCGGAGGUCAGAGGUUCGAGUCCUCUCUCCGCUACUA
rnacentral:tRNA from 1 species